GAAUAUUGGACAAUGGGGGCAACCCUGAUCCAGCCAUGCCGCGUGUGUGAAGAAGGCCUUUUGGUUGUAAAGCACUUUAAGCAGUGAAGAAGACUCCAUGGUUAAUACCCAUAGACGAUGACAUUAGCUGCAGAAUAAGCACCGGCUAACUCUGUGCCAGCAGCCGCGGUAAUACAGAGGGUGCAAGCGGUUAACGGAAUUACCGGGCGUAAAGCGGGCGUAAGUGGCUUUGUUAGUUAGAUUGGAAAUCCCCGGGCUUAACCUGGGAACUGCAUCUGAUACUGUUAGGCUAGAAUAGGUGAGAGGAAGGUAGAAUUCCAGGUGUAGCGGUGAAAUGCGUAGAGAUCUGGAGGAAUACCGAUGGCGAAGGCAGCCUUCUGGCAUCAUAUUGACACUGAGGUUCGAAAGCGUGGGUAGCAAAC
rnacentral:rRNA from 1 species